rnacentral:lncRNA from 1 species
CAUUGAAUUAAAAUAAAUUAAAAUUUAAUUGAUUCAAAUUUUAAAAGAUACAUUCAACCCUUCACAAUGAUACAUUCAACCCUUCACAACUUGAGGUUGUCUAGAUUGGAUGAUUGAGGCUACAAGCUUGGUUCCACAAGUUUGAAGCUACAAGAUUGGGUUUUGAGGUUUUGGGUGAAGAAAGAGAUUUUGGCUACAAGGCUAGAGAAAGAAGAGGAAUUCUAUCUAUUCUCCUCAAACUGAGUCCUGCAUUCUUUGAAUGCCAUAGGGGCUUAUUAUAGAAGUCUUGCAGACUUGAUUUGAGUUUAAGUCUGAAAACUGUUCUGCAUGCAUUGUCCGACAUGCUGUUGAUUUUUGAAGAAUCUUUUUCUUGUGAUCAAAAGAUCGGUGCAUGCGUUGCCUGAUAUGCAGUUUGCUUUUGAUAAAGUUGGGACCUUAAACUUUGAAAAAGUUGUUGAUGGGACAAAAAAUUUCCUUUUAGAUGACAUAAGGGGAUAGAAUUUGAUGGAUGAGAUAUGAGAUUUGAUGGAUGUUGUUUUGUCUUUUUUUUAUCCCUUAAUGAGGAGUCUAAAGAUUCCUCUUUGAAAUAUUUGCAAAUGUGCAUAUCCCAUAGAAAAAAUUAGCACUCUAGAGCUCUGGUUGAUGAUAUGCUGGCUUUAUUUCUUUUGAUGGAACUAGCUCUUUUUUCAGUUAUUUUAGCUUUGCUGGAGUUCUAAAGCAAUCUACUGGUC